CGGUAGAUGUAACGGGGCUAAACCAUGCACCGAAGCUGCGUCAGCGACACAAAGUGUGGUUGGGUAGGGGAGCGUUCUGUAAGCCUGCGAAGGUGUACUGUGAGGUAUGCUGGAGGUAUCAGAAGUGCGAAUGCUGACAUAAGUAACGAUAAUGCGGGUGAAAAACCCGCACGCCGGAAGACCAAGGGUUCCUGUCCAACGUUAAUCGGGGCAGGGUGAGUCGACCCCUAAGGCGAGGCUGAAAAGCGUAGUCGAUGGGAAACGGGUUAAUAUUCCCGUACUGGUGGUAACUGCGAUGGGGGAACGGAGAAGGCUAGGUUGUCCGGGCGACGGUCGUCCCGGUUCAAGCAGGUAGGCAGAGUGAUUAGGCAAAUCCGGUCACUUAAUGCUGAGAUGUGAUGACGAACCACCAAGGUGGUGAAGCAAUUGAUGCCCCGCUUCCAGGAAAAGCCUCUAAGCUUCAGGUUACCAACAAUCGUACCCCAAACCGACACAGGUGGUCAGGUAGAGAAUACUCAGGCGCUUGAGAGAACUCGGGUGAAGGAACUAGGCAAAAUGGUGCCGUAACUUCGGGAGAAGGCACGCUGGCGGUAGGUAAAGUCCCUCGCGGACAGAGCUGAAGCCAGUCGAAGAUACCAGCUGGCUGCAACUGUUUAUUAAAAACACAGCACUGUGCAAACACGAAAGUGGACGUAUACGGUGUGACGCCUGCCCGGUGCUGGAAGGUUAAUUGAUGGGGUCAGCCGUAAGGCGAAGCUCCUGAUCGAAGCCCCAGUAAACGGCGGCCGUAACUAUAACGGUCCUAAGGUAGCGAAAUUCCUUGUCGGGUAAGUUCCGACCUGCACGAAUGGCGUAAUGAUGGCCAGGCUGUCUCCACCCGAGACUCAGUGAAAUUGAACUCGCUGUGAAGAUGCAGUGUACCCGCGGCAAGACGGAAAGACCCCGUGAACCUUUACUAUAGCUUGACACUGAACAUUGAGCCUUGAUGUGUAGGAUAGGUGGGAGGCUUUGAAGUGUGGACGCCAGUCUGCAUGGAGCCAACCUUGAAAUACCACCCUUUAACGUUUGAUGUUCUAACCUAGGCCCAUAAACUGGGUCGGGGACCGUGUCUGGUGGGUAGUUUGACUGGGGCGGUCUCCUCCUAAAGAGUAACGGAGGAGCACGAAGGUUGGCUAAGCAUGGUCGGACAUCAUGCGGUUAGUGCAAAGGCAUAAGCCAGCUUGACUGCGAGAGUGACGGCUCGAGCAGGUACGAAAGUAGGUCUUAGUGAUCCGGUGGUUCUGAAUGGAAGGGCCAUCGCUCAACGGAUAAAAGGUACUCCGGGGAUAACAGGCUGAUACCGCCCAAGAGUUCAUAUCGACGGCGGUGUUUGGCACCUCGAUGUCGGCUCAUCACAUCCUGGGGCUGAAGUAGGUCCCAAGGGUAUGGCUGUUCGCCAUUUAAAGUGGUACGCGAGCUGGGUUUAGAACGUCGUGAGACAGUUCGGUCCCUAUCUGCCGUGGGCGUUGGAAGAUUGAGAGGGGUUGCUCCUAGUACGAGAGGACCGGAGUGAACGCACCACUGGUGUUCGGGUUGUCAUGCCAAUGGCAUUGCCCGGUAGCUAAGUGCGGAAGAGAUAACCGCUGAAAGCAUCUAAGCGGGAAACUUGCCUCGAGAUGAGUCUUCCCUGUCGCUUUAAG
rnacentral:rRNA from 1 species